rnacentral:rRNA from 1 species
GAGGAACGAGGGAGGCGUGCCUAAUACAUGCAAGUCGAGCGAACAGACGAGGAGCUUGCUCCUCUGACGUUAGCGGCGGACGGGUGAGUAACACGUGGAUAACCUACCUAUAAGACUGGGAUAACUUCGGGAAACCGGAGCUAAUACCGGAUAAUAUAUUGAACCGCAUGGUUCAAUAGUGAAAGACGGUUUUGCUGUCACUUAUAGAUGGAUCCGCGCCGCAUUAGCUAGUUGGUAAGGUAACGGCUUACCAAGGCGACGAUGCGUAGCCGACCUGAGAGGGUGAUCGGCCACACUGGAACUGAGACACGGUCCAGACUCCUACGGGAGGCAGCAGUAGGGAAUCUUCCGCAAUGGGCGAAAGCCUGACGGAGCAACGCCGCGUGAGUGAUGAAGGUCUUCGGAUCGUAAAACUCUGUUAUUAGGGAAGAACAAAUGUGUAAGUAACUAUGCACGUCUUGACGGUACCUAAUCAGAAAGCCACGGCUAACUACGUG